GACGAACCGUGCGAACGUUGUUCGGAAUCACUGGGCUUAAAGGGCGCGUAGGCGGGCUAUCAAGUCUGGGGUGAAAUCCCGCGGCUCAACCGCGGAACUGCCUCAGAUACUGACGGCCUCGAGGGGGAUAGGGGCAUGCGGAACUGUAGGUGGAGCGGUGAAAUGCGUUGAUAUCUACAGGAACUCCGGUGGCGAAAGCGGCGUGCUGGAUCCCUUCUGACGCUGAGGCUCGAAAGCCAGGGGAGCAAACGGG
rnacentral:rRNA from 1 species